rnacentral:rRNA from 1 species
UACGAAGGGUGGCAAACGUUGCUCGGAAUUAUUGGGCGUAAAGCGCACGUAGGCGGCUUAGCAAGUCGGAAGUGAAAUCCCACGGCUACCAACCGAUGGAAGUGCUUUCGAAAACUGCUGAGCUUGAGUACAAAAGAGGAUCGGCGGGAAAUUCCCGGUGUAGAGGUGAAAUUCGAUAGAUAUCGGGAGGAACACCGAGUGGCGAAGGCGG